rnacentral:rRNA from 1 species
CAUGCAAGUCGAACGAGGUUAGGGAGCUUGCUCCUGAUACCUAGUGGCGAACGGGUGAGUAAUGCUUAGGAAUCUGCCUAGUAGUGGGGGAUAACUACCCGAAAGGGUAGCUAAUACCGCAUACGACCUACGGGUGAAAGGGGGCUUUUAGCUCUCGCUAUUAGAUGAGCCUAAGUCGGAUUAGCUAGUUGGUGGGGUAAAGGCCUACCAAGGCGACGAUCUGUAGCUGGUCUGAGAGGAUGAUCAGCCACACUGGGACUGAGACACGGCCCAGACUCCUACGGGAGGCAGCAGUGGGGAAUAUUGGACAAUGGGCGAAAGCCUGAUCCAGCCAUGCCGCGUGUGUGAAGAAGGCCUUUUGGUUGUAAAGCACUUUAAGUAGGGAGGAAAAGCUAAUGGUUAAUACCCAUUAGCCCUGACGUUACCUACAGAAUAAGCACCGGCUAA